rnacentral:lncRNA from 1 species
CACCUUCUCUCCCAAAUGGACCGGCCAUGCACUAUAUAUUCAACCUCAUUUCCUCUAAAAACCUAGUUCUUGACUCUUGCUAAACACUCAAAAAUUCCCCAAACACUUUUCUCUCAAAAUUCUAACUUUGGCAUCGGAGGUUAUUCGGCCAAAGCCCCCCUCAUUCAUCGUGGGCACGUGAGACUCUUGGCCUUGACCAAAGAUGUUAUUUAUUUUGUAGGUGCAAUUUUGUCCAAAAUCAAGGAGGAAGAAAUUUGCAUCCACAACAAUAUAUGUCGAUUAUAUAAACCUAGUUGGAACCCCUGAAGAACUCAAUAAAACUGCUAAAUAUC